GACGAACGCUGGCGGCAUGCCUAACACAUGCAAGUCGAACGGAGAUUAUUUCGGUAAUCUUAGUGGCGAACGGGUGAGUAACGCGUGGGCAACCUGCCCUCUAGAUGGGGACAACAUCCCGAAAGGGGUGCUAAUACCGAAUGUGACAGCAAUCUCGCAUGAGGAUGCUGUGAAAGAUGGCCUCUAUUUAUAAGCUAUCGCUAGAGGAUGGGCCUGCGUCUGAUUAGCUAGUUGGUGGGGUAACGGCCUACCAAGGCGAUGAUCAGUAGCCGGUCUGAGAGGAUGAACGGCCACAUUGGGACUGAGACACGGCCCAGACUCCUACGGGAGGCAGCAGUGGGGAAUCUUCCGCAAUGGGCGAAAGCCUGACGGAGCAAUGCCGCGUGAGUGAUGAAGGAAUUCGUGCCGUAAAGCCCUUUUGCUUAUGACGAAUGUGCAGAUUGUGAACAAUGAUCUGUAAUGACGGUAGUAAACGAAUAAGCCACGGCUAACUACGUG
rnacentral:rRNA from 1 species